CCUACUGGUGGCAGCAGUGGGGAAUAUUGGGCAAUGGAGGCAACUCUGACCCAGCAACGCCGCGUGAGUGAUGCAGGUCUUCGGAUUGUACAACUCUUUAAGUGGGGACGAAGAAAGUGACUGUACCAACAGAAUAAGCCUCGGCUAACUACGUGCCAGCAGCCGCGGUAAUACGUAGGAGGCAAGCGUUAUCCGGAAUGACUGGGCGUAAAGGGUGCGUAGGUGGUUUGACAAGUUAGUAGCGUAAUUCCGGGGCUCAACUUCGGAACUACUACUAAAAAUGUUGGGCGUGAGUGCAGGAGAGGUGAAUGGAAGUCCUAGUGGCGCGGUGGAAUGAGUAGAUAUUAGGAGGACACCCAGCGGCGAAAGCGAUUCACUGGACUGUAACUGACACUGAGGCACGAAAGCGUGGUGAGCAAACAGGAUUAGAUACCCUACUAGUC
rnacentral:rRNA from 1 species